GGUAUCCUAACCGUGCAAAGGUAGCGCAAUCAAUUGUCCCAUAAAUCGAGACUAGUAUGAAUGGCUAAACGAGGUCUUAACUGUCUCUUGCAGGCAAUCGGUGAAAUUGAUCUCCCUGUGCAAAAGCAGGGAUAAACCCAUAAGACGAGAAGACCCUGUGGAACUUUAAAAACAGCAGCCACCCCAAACAACACAACCCCCCACCGGGCCCACUCACACACAAGCCACUGGCCUGCAUUUUUUCGGUUGGGGCGACCUUGGAGAAAAACAAAUCCUCCAAAAAUUAGACCACACCUCUAAACCAAGAGCAACCCCUCGACGUGCUAACAGCAACCAGACCCAAUAUAAUUGACCAAUGGACCAAGCUACCCCAGGGAUAACAGCGCAAUCUCCUUUAAGAGUCCAUAUCGACAAGGAGGUUUACGACCUCGAUGUUGGAUCAGGACAUCCUAGUGGUGCAGAAGCUACUAAGGGUUCGUUUGUUCAACGAUUAACAGUCCU
rnacentral:rRNA from 1 species